UACGAAGGGGGCGAGCGUUGUUCGGAAUUACUGGGCGUAAAGGGCGCGCAGGCGGCUCUGAAAGUCAGAUGUGAAAGCCUCGGGCUUAACCUGAGAACUGCAUUUGAUACUCUGGAGCUUGAGUACGGGAGAGGAUAGUGGAAUUCCCAGUGUAGAGGUGAAAUUCGUAGAUAUUGGGAAGAACACCGGUGGCGAAGGCGGCUAUCUGGACCGUAACUGACGCUGAGGUGCGAAAGCGUGGGGAGCAAACAGG
rnacentral:rRNA from 1 species